rnacentral:rRNA from 1 species
GACGAACGCUGGCGGCGUGCCUAAUACAUGCAAGUAGGACGCAGUUGCGAACGGAUGAGUAACGCGUAGGUCACUGCCUGGUAGAGGGGGAUAACUAUUGGAGACGAUAGCUAAUACCGCAUACUAGUAGAUGGACCUGCGUGGUAUUAGAGAGUAGGUAGGGUAAUGGCCUACCUAGGCGACGAUACAUAGCCGGCCUGAUAGGGUGAUCGGCCACACGGGGACUGAGACACGGCCCAGACUCCUACGGGAGGCAGCAGUAGGGAAUAUUCGGCAAUGGGCGAAAGUCUGACGCAGCAACGCCGCGUGAGUGAAGAAGGUUUUCGGGUCGUAAAGCUCUGUUGUUGGAGAAGCGGUAUCUAACCAGAAAGCACCGGCUAACUACGUGCCAGCAGCCGCGGUAAUUC